AUACUUACCUGGCGAGGGAGAUACCAUGACCAUGAAGGUAGUUUUCCCAGGGCAAGGCCUACCCAUUGCACUCUGGAUAUGUUGACCCCUGCAAUUUCCACAAAUGUGGGAAACUCAGCUGCAUAAUUUGUGGUAGUGAGGGAUUGUGCUCGUGAUUUCCCCUG
rnacentral:snRNA from 1 species